UACGUAGGGGGCUAGCGUUGUCCGGAAUCAUUGGGCGUAAAGCGCGUGUAGGCGGUUCGGUAAGUCCGCUGUGAAAGUCGGGGGCUCAACCCUCGGAUGCCGGUGGAUACUGUCGGGCUAGAGUACGGAAGAGGCAAGUGGAAUUCCUGGUGUAGCGGUGGAAUGCGCAGAUAUCAGGAGGAACACCUAUAGCGAAGGCAGCUUGCUGGGACGUUACUGACGCUAAGGCGCGAAAGCGUGGGGAGCGAACAGG
rnacentral:rRNA from 1 species